rnacentral:rRNA from 1 species
GCUAAUACCGGAUGCUUGUUUGAACCGCAUGGUUCAAACAUAAAAGGUGGCUUCGGCUACCACUUACAGAUGGACCCGCGGCGCAUUAGCUAGUUGGUGAGGUAACGGCUCACCAAGGCAACGAUGCGUAGCCGACCUGAGAGGGUGAUCGGCCACACUGGGACUGAGACACGGCCCAGACUCCUACGGGAGGCAGCAGUAGGGAAUCUUCCGCAAUGGACGAAAGUCUGACGGAGCAACGCCGCGUGAGUGAUGAAGGUUUUCGGAUCGUAAAGCUCUGUUGUUAGGGAAGAACAAGUACCGUUCGAAUAGGGCGGUACCUUGACGUUACCUAACCAGAAAGCCACGGCUAACUACGUGCCAGCAGCCGCGGUAAUACGUAGGUGGCAAGCGUUGUCCGGAAUUAUUGGGCGUAAAGGGCUCGCAGGCGGUUUCUUAAGUCUGAUGUGAAAGCCCCCGGCUCAACCGGGGAGGGUCAUUGGAAACUGGGGAACUUGAGUGCAGAAGAGGAGAGUGGAAUUCCACGUGUAGCGGUGAAAUGCGUAGAGAUGUGGAGGAACACCAGUGGCGAAGGCGACUCUCUGGUCUGUAACUGACGCUGAGGAGCGAAAGCGUGGGGAGCGAACAGGAUUAGAUACCCUGGUAGUCCACGCCGUAAACGAUGAGUGCUAAGUGUUAGGGGGUUUCCGCCCCUUAGUGCUGCAGCUAACGC